AGGUGAUGGACAACAGGUUGAUAUUCCUGUACUACCGAUAACCGUUUGAGAGAUGGGAUGACACAGUAGGAUAAGCUAAGCACACUGUUGGUUAUGUGUGCCCAAGCAUUGAGGCAGUCAAAGUAGGUAAAUCCGCUUUGAUAAUGCUGGGAUGUGAUGGGGAGCGAAAUUUAGUAGCGAAGUAGCUGAUUUCACACUGUCAAGAAAAGUCUCUAUCGAGGUUAAAGGUACCCGUACCGCAAACCGACACAGGUG
rnacentral:rRNA from 1 species